rnacentral:ncRNA from 1 species
UGUGAAGGGCAAAGCUGUCGAAAGGCAGUGACGCAAAGCUAUAGGGUCUGAAAAGACAGCCAGUUGCCGC